rnacentral:rRNA from 2 species
AUGGAAAGCACUUUGAAAAGAGGGUGAAAAGCACCUGAAACCGCCAUGGGGGAAGCGGAUUGCAUCAGUGUUUGCUUGUAUCUGUUCAGCUAUCAAAUUGGUAGUGUAUUCAGUACUUGCUGUGUUGGCAUGGCUGCUUUGGCUUUGGAUUAUGCAAGGCUAAGUGGUGAGGGCUCCUUUAUAGUUGAGGAUGUCAACAAAAUGAUGCGACCCGACCCGUCUUGAAACACGGACCAAGGAGUCUAGCACUACUGCAAGUCGAAGAGUUUAAAAACUCAGGGGCGAAGUGAAAGCGAAUAUUAGGAGAUCUGAUACAGAUUAGGGAGGUGUUGCGACGUUGUCAAAAUAUCCUACCCAGAGCAGUUGUGCUGGGACCCGAAAGAUGGUGAACUAUGCCGGAAUAGGGCAAAGCCAGAGGAAACUCUGGUGGAGGCUCGUAGCGAUGCUGACGUGCAAAUCGCUCGUCGAAUUUGGGUAUAGGGGCGAAAGACUAAUCGAACCAUCUAGUAGCUGGUUCCCUCCGAAGUUUCUCUCAGGAUAGCGGGCCGACGAUGUGUGUUGUUUUGUGU